rnacentral:tRNA from 1 species
GGGUGGUUAGCUCAGCUGGGAGAGCACCUGCCUUACAAGCAGGGGGUCGGCGGUUCGAUCCCGUCACCACCCACCA